UAUAUAUAUAUAUAUAUAUAUAUAUAUAUAUAUAUAUAUAUAUAUAUAUAUAUAUAUUAAUAGCAGUCGUCGUUUCAUCCGUCGUUGUUUGCGCGACGCGCCGACUGUUUUGAGCUACGC